AUGCUCUGCAAACCCCUCCGCUCUCUAGUGGAAGCCUCCGCGGGCGCCGGCUUGGACGGGCCCCUGAGUGUCGCCUCCGGUUGCACAGGUGACCCAGCGACGGGCGUGAACGACGGCUGUGCUGCUCAUGAUUCGAUGGUACAGGUAAGAACAAGGGCCACGCUCGCCCGCAGAACCACUGAUCUGAUAGACGCGGGAAGAGCUCGCUUCCAUGGUCAGACGGGAAACGUGUGCAUGCGUCGCCUUCGCAUCUGCUCUGGAAACUUCCCCCGUCCACACUCCCAUCGAGCGGCGUCGAGGAGGCUGGGGCAGCGAGCCACGCCCGGCCCGCUGGGGCUUUCCGCUCCGCCGGCGUCGGACAAAGUCACCAUGAACUCCCCAACCUGCCCGAAACCAUCCAACACAAAGGAUCCCCGAAUGUCCUCCUCUCCCCCUACAAGCCUGCAAACAAAUGGUACAGGGACGAGGUCAGGGAGGGAUCCCCGCCCACCAGGGCCUGGGAAUUCAUUUACCUACCUCGGAGCCCGCGGGGAGGCCGGGAGGCGAGGAGCACAUCUGAGCGGCCUUUGCCAGCCCUCCGCGUCUUUGUGGCGCCCGCACAAUAGAGGAGCACGAACUGAGCAGCCCGGCGCCCCGAGGACCCGCUCUUUGCAAAUGCUAAUGGCAUUGUGGCUCCUGUCGCCCGGCGCAGAGGGAUGUCGAUCUUCACACGAACCAGAACAGGCCCAUUGUACGCAGGUUUGUGGCCGACGUGCGGUGUCUGCACAUCAAAGGCGCAGCCCGUGGCAGGGCACCCAGGCGGCCAGCUGCACCCGGGGUGCCCGGCGGGGUGCCCGGCGCCUCACCCGCCGCCUCACGGUCCCGCUUCGGCCACGCGAGUACAACCGGCAAGGCCGAGAGUGCGCCCAGGGUUCACGGGGCCGUGGCUGCUCGUGCCGAGAGCCCCCUCCGAGGCGGCAGGGGAGCGGGCGGUCGACUGGCUCGGGAGGGGGGCCCAAGGGAACAUCGAUUCCACGCUCGACGUGCUGGGAAACUAGGAAGGCAAGGCAAGAAAACGAAAUAAACUGUGUACGAUGUUCUGCAAAGUGA
rnacentral:lncRNA from 12 species